AACAGCAGUUGGUAAGGGUGAAAAGGAGAGGUAAGAGCUCCCCGCACUCUUGGGAAACCAAGGUGGCAUGGUAAACCCCCUCUGGAGCAAGAUCGAAUAGGGAUAGGAGGACUUGCGUCCCUGCAGCUCUUCGUGCAGCACCUAUCCGGGUUGAUCGCUUGAGGUCUGCGGUGACGCAGAUCCUAGAGGAAUAGUCGCCCCUGCGUACAGGACAGAACCCGGCUUAUAGCCUUCCUCCGGAC
rnacentral:RNase_P_RNA from 1 species